UAACACCGGCGCCACAAGUGGCAAUCGUAUUUAUUGGGCCUAAAGCGUCCGUAGCCGAUUCGGAAAGUCUUUUGUGAAAUCGUUAAGCUCAACUUAGCGAAGUGCAAAAGAAACUGCCGAGUUAGAGACCGGGAGGGGACAGAGGUAUUCCUUGGGAAGCGGUAAAAUGUUAUAAUCCCUGGAAGACCACCUGUGGUGAAGACGUCUGUCUAGAACGGAUCUGACGGUGAGGGACGAAAGCUGGGGGAGCGAUCAGGAUUAGAUACCCUAGUAGUCCCAGCUGUAAACUCUGCGAACUAUGUGUCGCACUUCUUUCGGGGAAGUGCGGUGCCGUAGCGAAGGCGUUAAGUUCGCCGCCUGGGAAGUAUAGUCGCAAGAUCG
rnacentral:rRNA from 1 species